ensembl:lncRNA
UGUUACUGAAAAUCAAGCCUUGUUAUUUCCAAAACUGAAGGUUCAGUUUACCAUAAAAGUUCCAAAUGUAUACAGCAUAUAUACACCUAAUAAUCUGAGUUCAACCAUAUAAAAAUUGACAGUUCAAAGAGGAAUAAGCAAACCUGUAACAGUACACAAUUUCUCAGCAAGUAACAGAACAAGAUUCAGGGAGAUUUUAUACACAUACACACACAAACUCAUUGUAUGUUGGACCACAGAGUAAAUUUCAAACAUGUUCAAAGGAUUAAAAUCAGGGCAUCUGACUAUAAAGCAAUUAAGGUAGAAACUGAUAAUAAAUUAUAUUUGAAAAUCAAGAAAUGUACAUCUAAGUAACCCACAGUUCAAAGAAAGUACAUAAAAUAUGCAUUUAACUCAAUGGCGUUUACAUCAAAACUUGUGAGAAUGAAACCGGCUAUGGAGUAAACUUAUAACUCUAAACUCAUUUAUUAGGAAAAGAAGAAAUCAACAUACUAAGGUGAAAACAUCUCUCCUUCAAGAAAACAGAAGUAAAUUAACACAAAUUAAUAAAAGUAUACUGUAGAAAAUGUCAAGAAAGCCAUAAACUGGUCUUGAAUCUGCAGACAUUAAUAUAGUCAAUAAAAAUUCAAAUAAUCUUGUACCUAUAAACUUACUUAAUCUAUUUAAUAAUUCAAUAAUUUACUCAAACACUGGCAAAUUCUAUCAAAUACUGAUUGUUAUUCCAGCAAUGCAAAUCUAGUUCAACAAUGUAAAGAAAAAGUUUUCGUAAUACACUGCAUUAGCAGAAUAAAGGAGAAAAAACAAUCAUCUCAAUAAACAAAGAAAAAAACCACCUGAUAAAAAAACUCAGUCCAUCUACAGGAAACAUAUUUAGAGGAGAAAUACAGAAAACUUCCUGUGAGAGACACAAAUAAGACAGAGAUAUUACCUUUUCUAUUCAGUACUACACUGGACGUCCCAACCAGCACAGCAAAAGCAAGAAAAUCAUAUGUGUAACAACUAGAAAGGGAGAAAUAAAACUGCCAUUAUUUCCUAGUUAUACAAAACCAAAUGUUCUAUAUGCUGACAAUUGGAAAACAAACUUUUCUUAGACAGUAUUUAGCAAAAAUAAAUAUGCCCUGUAAUAAAACUUUUGAAAGUGUGCAAGAUCUAUUAAAAAAACACAAUACAGGAGUUCCCGUCAUGGCACAGCAGAAACAAAUCUGACUAGGAACCAUGUGGUUGUGGGUUCAAUCCCUGGCCUCCUCAGUGGGUUAAGGAUCUGGUGUUGCCAUGAGCUGUGGUGUAGGUUGCAGAUGUGGCUUGGAUCUGAUAUUGCUGUGGCUGGCUGUGGUAUGGACUGGCAGCUGUAGCUCUGAUUUGACCCCUAGCCCGGGAACCUCCACAUGCCAUGGGUGCAGCCAUAAAAAGCAAAAAAACAAUCCCGCCCCCCCAAAAAAAAAAAACCCCACAACACAGAUGUUUAAGAUAACCCAGAUCUAUAUAAUGUGAAGGAUAGGCCAUGUUCAUAGAGGAGACUCAAUAAUAUUUUAAAGGUGUUAAUUUUCCCUAAAUAAAUUUGUAGUUUGAAUGCCUAAUGCCCAGUCAAAAGCCUAACAAGGUUUUUCUUUUUUUUUUUUGGCUACCCCGCAGCAUGUAGAGUUGCCGGGCCAGGGAUCUGACCUGAGCCACAGAUGCGACCUAUACCGAAGCUGUGGCAGGCCGCAUGGAUCCUUUAACCCACUGUGCUAGACCAGGGAUCGAACCUGCAUCCUUGUGGCACAGUGAUGCCACUGAUCCUCUUGUGCCACAGUGGGAACUCUCUCUUUUUUGAGCAUUACUUAAUAAAAUAGUUCUAAAAUUUAUAUGGAGAAAUAAAGGGCCAGAAAGAGCAGAGUCAAGUUUAAGAAAGUGGGGAUGAGAAUGGGACUUGUAUUACCAUAACUUAAAGCACAUUAAGUCAGUACACAAAAGAAAGAACUCUAUGGAAUAUGAUAUAGAAGCCAGAAAGAGAUUCAUGAAUGGACCUACUGCAAAAGGAGAACUGCAAGAGAUGUAGGAAAAAGACUUUUUUUCCGGAGUUCCCGUCGUGGCGCAGUGGUUAACGAAUCCGACUAGGAACCAUGAGGUUGCGGGUUCGGUCCCUGCCCUUGCUCAGUGGGUUAAAGGAUCCGGCGUUGCCGUGAGCUGUGGUGUGUUGCAGACGCGGCUCGGAUCCCGCGCGUUGCUGUGGCUCUGGCGUAGGCCAGUGGCUACAGCUCCGAUUCAACCCCUAGCCUGGGAACCUCCAUAUGCCCCAGGAGCGGCCCAAGAAAUAGCAACAACAACAAAAAAAAGACAAAAAAAAAAAAAAAAGAUUUUUUUUCCAACAAAUGGUGCACAAUUAAUUUACAUAUGGAAAAAAAAAAAAACUGCCAAAAAACCAAACCGAUCUAAACUAAACAAUCCACACUGUAUUCCACAAAUGAAUUCCAGGCUGACUGCAAAGCUUAAUGUAAAACAAUAGUUUCCUGGAAAAGGGUAGAAGAGACUAUCUUCACAAUGCAGAUUAGGAAAAGGUUAUUAAACAGAGCAUAGAAAGCUACAGGCUGUAACUGCUGGAACUCAGGUUCAAUCUCUGGCCUAGGAACUUCCACAUGCUGCAGUUGUGGCCAAGGGAAAAAAAAAAAGCUAUAGGUACACAAAAGACUGAAAAAGAAAUUACAAUAAUGAAUUCUGUCAGGAUCAAGAUGGUAGAGGAGUAGGAUGUAGAACUCACUUUCAAAAAACAAACAAACAAACAAACACCCUAAACCAAACCCCUCCCCCCCCCAAAUAGAAUGAUUCACACAGAACAUGUAUUGAACACUGGCACAAGACCUUAGACUUCCAAAAAUGGCAAGAAAACCUCCACAUAACUGGGUAGAGCUAGAAGGGAAAAAAAAAAGAGGAGAAAAAACAAAACAAAACAAAACAAAAAACAGGACAAAACCAGCACUCCUGAGAGGGAGCUGCAAAAGAGGAAAGGAAUCUGCACGCUGGGAGGCCACCUAACUGAUGGGGAGAACAGCCAGGAUGGACAGAUGGGGAACCUCAAAGCCUCAGACAAAAGCACAGCAGCCAGAGGAGGGAAAGCAGAAAGAGAGCAGCACAAACCAGUACCAGGGCCUCGCGCACCACAGCCUGAGACACUUGGGUGGGGCCUGGGCACCAGACUUGGGCUUCAGAAAGGUCAGUUCUGGGAGGAGACUAGGGUUGGCUGUUGGCAAACAGCCUGAGGGAGUAAGGGAGUGGUGUCCCAUGGGCUAGAGUACUGUGCCACACCCAAGGCAGUGUGUGAGGAGGCCUGGGCCUGCCAAAUGGGCAAGGCACCAUUUUUGAGGAGUGUGAGAGGAGGGGAGUUGGGACCUCUCAGGUGGCAGAGCCCCUUCUGCACUUGCUAUGGGCUGGGUGCCAACUGCUGCAGCCAUCUCAGACUCUGGAGGUGGGUGCAGCCUGCCACCACUGUGGGUCUUGUGACCAAGCACUGCCUGCUGCCCCAGUCACACCCCAGGGGUUGAUGCCUUUGAAGGCCUGGCAAAUGAGUGCCACCCAUACCUACCUGGAAAGGCACAUACCUCUCCAUGGCUGCUGGCAAAGGCCCUGGUGACCAGGCACUGCCUGCAGUCAGUGCCCAUUGCCCCCACCUCCCUGGAAGCAUGGGCAAGCCUUGCACCUGUAUGCCCCCUAUCAAGGGGAUAAUGGCCUGCAUACACUGAGGAAAGACAUGAAAGAGACAGCAAGUGCCCAGACCAAAAGCAACUUUCAUGCCAAAAAAACAGUAGAUCCACACAAGCUACCCAGGGAUGCUACUACAUAUAAAUAGCCCUCCAAGACUACAGUAGAUAACUGUUUUCCCUUAACUCACAGAGUAAGAAAAAUAUAAGCAAAAUGAAGCAGCAGGGCAACAAUUCACAUGCAACCGACAAGGGCUUAAUUUCCAAAAUAAUGCAAACAAAUCAUACAACCACCAAAAAACAACCCAACAUGGGCAGAAGACCUAAAUAGACAUUUCUUCAAAGAAGAUACGGAUGGCCAAUAGGUACAUGAAAAGAUGCUCAACAUCACUUAUUAUAGAAAUAUAAAUGAAAACUACAAUGACGUACCACCUCAUACUGGUCAGAAUGGCCAUCAUUAAUAAGUCUACAAACAACACAUGCUGGAGAUGAUGUGGAGAAAAGGGGACCUUCCUAUACCGUUUGUUGGAAUGUAAAUUGGUAUAACUACUAUGGAAAACAGUGUGGAGGUUCCUUGGAAAACUAAGUACAGAACUACCACAUGGUCCAGCAAUCCCACUCCUGGGCAUCUAUCCUGAGAAAAUUCAAAGAUAACGCACCCCUAUGUUCCCUGCAACGCUAUUCACAAUAGCCAAGACAUGGAAAAGAUCUAAAUAUCCAUCAAUAGAGGAAUGGGUAUAGAAGAUGGGUCAUUAUGUACAUGGAAUACUAUUCAGCCGUAAAAAGAACAAAAUGAUGUCAUUUGCAGCAACAUGGAUGCAACCAGAGAUUCUCAUACUAAGUGAAGAAGUCAAAGAGAGACAAAUACUAAAUACCACUUAUAUGUAGAAUCUAAAAUAUGGCACAAAUGAACAUUAUCAACAAACAACUCACAAAGAGAAUAGACUUGUGGUUGCCAAAGGAAAAGAGGUAGGGAGUGGGACGGAUGGACUAGGAGUUUGAGGUUAGUAGGUGCAAACGAUUACAUUUAGAAUGGAUAGACAAUAAGGUCCUACUGUAUAGCACAGGGAAAUAUAUCCAAUCUUCUGAGAUUGGCCAUGACAGAAUUUUUUUUUUGGGAGUUCCCGUCAUGGCGCAGCUGGCAGCUGUAGCUCUGAUUGGACCCCUAGCCUGGGAACCUCCAUAUGCCACGGGUGCAGUCCUAAAAAGCAAAAUAAGUAAUAUAAAAAAUAAUGUAUACAUAUGUAUGAUUCACUUUCUUAUACAGCAGAAAUUAGCACAACACUGUAAAUCAACUUUAAUAAACUUAUAAAAACUUAAAAAGGAGUUCCCAUUGUUGUUCAGCAGUAACAAACCUGACUAGUAUCUAUGUGGAUGCAGUUCGAUGCCUGGCUCCACUCAGUGGGUUAAGGAUCCGGUACUGCUCUGAGCUGUGGUGUAUGCUGCAGAUGCAGCUCAAAUCCUGUAUUGCUGUGGCUGUGGUGUAGGCCAGCUGCUGCAGCUCAGAUUUGACCCCUAGCCUGGGAAGUUCCACAUGCUGUGAGUGGAGCCCUAAAAAGAAAAAAAAAAAAAAAAAAAAAAAAAAAAAAAAAAAAAAAAAGAAAGAAAAAGAAAUAAGACACUUAAAAAAAUAAUGAAUUCCUAGGCAAUUUGCAACACAAAUGUUGAAGUACUUAUAUACAAGAUACAUAAAGACCUAUUAAUACAAAAACCACCCCCCCCAAAACAAAAAACCCACACAGAAAAAAUAACAAAAAAACAGAAAAUCCAAACCCUUAUAAAAAGGUAAUUUCCAAAUGAUCAACCUUGUCAUUUACCUUAUCGGUAGCCUGGAACUGACAGACUAAACCCAGUGAGAAACCGUUACUCACCUACCAGAAAGACAAAAUUAAAAAGAUUGACAAGGGCUAUUGGGAUGUGCAAAAACCUUCCUAUUAUAUCCAGCAAUUCUAUCUUAACUAAAUACCCACAAAAAUGUGUGCAUAAGCUUCAAGAGAGAUGUAAAAUAAUAUUCCUACUGCUUUAUCUGUAGUUAUGGUCAAACUGGAAACAACACAAAUAUCCAUCAACAAUAGAACAGGGUUAUGUGCAGACAUGUGAGACAGACACAUUCGUAACGUGCACACAGGAAUAUUCAAUGUUGUCAACGAAAAUCUAGAGUUGCGAGCAAUAUUCUGAAUUUCAUAAAAACUGAGCAAAAGUAUCCAGAUUUAAAAAAAAGGAAAAAAAAGGGGGGGGUUCCCAUCCUGGCUCAGUGGUUAAUGAACCUGACUAGCAUCCAUCAGAACGCGGUUUCAGUCCCUGGCCUCACACAGUGGGUUAAGGAUCCGGCAUUGCCCUGAGCUGUGGUGUGGGUCGCAGACGUGGCUCAGACCCUGUAUUGCCGUGGCUGUGGUGUAGGCCGGCAGCUGCAGCUCCAAUUUGACCCUUAGCCUGGGAACCUCCAUAUGCCUUGGGUGCGACCCUAGAAAGACAAAAAAAUAAAAAAACCCAUAUACUUUGAUUUCAUUUAUGUUGUUCAAAGAAUAGGCAUAGUUAAAUAUGUUUAGAAACAAUUACUGGAAAACCUAGGAGACUCAUUACCUUCUGGAGGGAGAAAUGGAAAGGCCAGUUAAUUGGUUGGGACAAGGGAGCUUUUGGAGUAGGGCAGUGUCAUUGUGAUCUGAGUUGUGGUUACAAAGUUGCUUGUCUUGUAAUCUGCUAAGGUGGACAUUUUUGUGUUC